rnacentral:rRNA from 1 species
AUGGGAGCUUGCUCCCUGAUCUUAGCGGCGGACGGGUGAGUAACACGUGGGCAACCUGCCCUGCAGACUGGGAUAACUCCGGGAAACCGGAGCUAAUACCGGGUAAUACAUCGCACCGCAUGGUGCAAUGUUGAAAGUUGGCUUUCGAGCUAACACUGCAGGAUGGGCCCGCGGCGCAUUAGCUAGUUGGUAAGGUAAUGGCUUACCAAGGCGACGAUGCGUAGCCGACCUGAGAGGGUGAUCGGCCACACUGGGACUGAGACACGGCCCAGACUCCUACGGGAGGCAGCAGUAGGGAAUCUUCCGCAAUGGACGAAAGUCUGACGGAGCAACGCCGCGUGAGUGACGAAGGCCUUCGGGUCGUAAAGCUCUGUUGUUAGGGAAGAACAAGUACCGUUCGAAUAGGGCGGUACCUUGACGGUACCUAACCAGAAAGCCACGGCUAACUACGUGCCAGCAGCCGCGGUAAUACGUA